rnacentral:rRNA from 1 species
AACGAACGCUGGCGGCGCGCCUAAUGCAUGCAAGUCGAGCGAGAAGGUGUAGCAAUACACUUGUAAAGCGGCGAACGGGUGAGGAAUGCAUGGGUAACCUACCCUCGAGUGGGGAAUAACUAGCCGAAAGGUUAGCUAAUACCGCAUACGUUUCCGGAACUUCGGUUUCGGAAAGAAAGCGAUACCGUGGGUAUUGCGCUCCUGGAUGGGCUCAUGUCCUAUCAGCUUGUUGGUGAGGUAACGGCUCACCAAGGCUUCGACGGGUAGCUGGUCUGAGAGGACGAUCAGCCACACUGGCACUGCGACACGGGCCAGACUCCUACGGGAGGCAGCAGUAAGGAAUAUUGCGCAAUGGACGAAAGUACUGACGCAGCGACGCCG